rnacentral:tRNA from 1 species
AAGGUUAUAGCUCAGUGGUAGAGUGCGUGCCUAGCAUGCACAAGGCCCUGGGUUCAACUGCCAGUACCUCCA